rnacentral:rRNA from 1 species
UACGAAGGGGGCUAGCGUUGCUCGGAAUGACUGGGCGUAAAGAGCUCGUAGGUGGUUUGUCGCGUUGUUCGUGAAAUCUCACGGCUUAACUGUGAGCGUGCGGGCGAUACGGGCAGACUAGAGUACUGCAGGGGAGACUGGAAUUCCUGGUGUAGCGGUGGAAUGCGCAGAUAUCAGGAGGAACACCGGUGGCGAAGGCGGGUCUCUGGGCAGUAACUGACGCUGAGGAGCGAAAGCGUGGGGAGCGAACAGG